rnacentral:tRNA from 1 species
CACACAGUAGUUUAAGGAGAAUGGUGCAUUGUGGAUGUAUUGGUUGGCUGUAGAAAGGCUACGUGUGU